GCCACCUGGAUUGCAGUUGUUGGAAAUGAUGGCUUUAUUUCCUUCCUCAACCUUGAUGAUGGAGGUAGUGCUUCUCCGACGAAAAUACCAAGCGAUCCUUGCAGCAGGCCAGAACCUUGUGGUGCAUAUUAUGUUUGUUCUGGUAACAACGUAUGCCAGUGCCCUUCAGCUCUUAGUUCCAGCCCAAAUUGUAAAACAGGUAUUGUCUCUUCCUGUGGCAGCUCAAAGGGCUCUCCAGAGCUUGUAAGUGCUGGCAGUGGGCUUAAUUAUUUUGCACUUGGGUUUGUUCCACCCUCUUCAAAAACUAGUUUGGAAGGCUGCAAAUCCUCUUGCCGUGAUAACUGCU
rnacentral:misc_RNA from 1 species